UACGAAGGGUGCAAGCGUUACUCGGAAUUACUGGGCGUAAAGCGUGCGUAGGUGGUUCGUUAAGUCUGAUGUGAAAGCCCUGGGCUCAACCUGGGAAUGGCAUUGGAAACUGGCGACCUAGAGUGCGGUAGAGGGUAGUGGAAUUCCCGGUGUAGCAGUGAAAUGCGUAGAGAUCGGGAGGAACAUCCGUGGCGAAGGCGACUACCUGGACCAGCACUGACACUCAGGAGCGAAAGCGUGGGGAGCAAACAGG
rnacentral:rRNA from 1 species